GAUGAAGAACGUAGCGAAAUGCGAUACGUAAUGUGAAUUGCAGAAUUCAGUGAAUCAUCGAAUCUUUGAACGCAUAUUGCGCUCUUUGGUAUUCCGAAGAGCAUGCUUGUUUGAGUAUCAGUAAACACCUCAAAACUUUUGAUUUUUUUUUAAAAAAAAAAGGUUUUGGACUUGAGCAAUCCCAACACCAAUCUUUUUUAGAUCGGUGGCGGGUUGCUUGAAAUGCAGGUGCAGCUGAACAUUCUCCUGAGCUAAAAGCAUAUUUAUUUAGUCCCGUCAAACGGAUUAUUACUUUUGCUGCAGCUAAUAUAAAGGGAGUUUGACCGUAUUGGCUGACUGAUGCAGGAUUUCACAAGGGUCGGCAACGAUUCUUGUAAAACUCGAUCUCAAAUCAAGUAAGACUACCCGCUGAACUUAAGCAUAUCAAUAAGCGGAGGA
rnacentral:misc_RNA from 1 species